rnacentral:rRNA from 1 species
AGCGAACGCUGGCGGCAGGCCUAACACAUGCAAGUCGAACGAAGUCUUCGGACUUAGUGGCGGACGGGUGAGUAACACGUGGGAACGUGCCUUUAGGUUCGGAAUAACUCAGGGAAACUUGUGCUAAUACCGAAUGUGCCCUUCGGGGGAAAGAUUUAUCGCCUUUAGAGCGGCCCGCGUCUGAUUAGCUAGUUGGUGAGGUAAAGGCUCACCAAGGCUACGAUCAGUAGCUGGUCUGAGAGGAUGACCAGCCACAUUGGGACUGAGACACGGCCCAAACGCCUACGGGAGGCAGCAGUGGGGAAUCUUGCGCAAUGGGCGAAAGCCUGACGCAGCCAUGCCGCGUGAAUGAUGAAGGUCUUAGGAUUGUAAAAUUCUUUCACCGGGGACGAUAAUGACGGUACCCGGAGAAGAAGCCCCGGCUAACUUCGUGCCAGCAGCCGCAGUAAAAC